GUUAAAAAGCUCGUAGUUGAAUUUCUAGUCAACCGUUAGCUGGCUUCACAGUCGUUAACGAUUGCCUAUCCGACAUUGAACUAUAAUGGUUAUUAAGUUAACCUUAUAGCGAACUGUCAUUUUACUUUGAAAAAAUUAGAGUGUUUCAGGCAGGCAAUUGCCCGAAUAUCUUAGCAUGGAAUAAUGGAAUAGGACUUUGGUUCAUUUGAUUGGUUAUUGAAUCAGAGUAAUGAUUAAUAGGGACAGUUGGGGGCAUUAGUAUUUAAUUGUCAGAGGUGAAAUUCUUGGAUUUAUUAAAGACUAACUUAUGCGAAAGCAUUUGCCAAGGAUGUUUUCAUUAAUCAAGAACGAAAGUUAGGGGAUCAAAGACGAUCAGAUACCGUCCUAGUCUUAACUAUAAACUAUACCGACUCAGGAUUGGCGAUGCCAUAAGCUUCGUCAGCACUGUAUGAGAGAUUAAAGUCUUUGGGUUCUGGGGGGAGUAUGGUCGCAAGGCUGAAACUUAAAGGAAUUGACGGAAGGGCACCACCAGGAGUGGAGCCUGCGGCUUAAUUCGACUCAACACGGGGAAACUUACCAAGGCCAAACAGAGGUGGGAUUGACAGAUUGAGAGCUCUUUCUUGAUUCUUUGGGUGGUGGUGCAU
rnacentral:rRNA from 1 species